rnacentral:rRNA from 1 species
GACGAACGCUGGCGGCGUGCCUAAUACAUGCAAGUCGAACGCAGUGGGGACGGGUGAGUAACACGUUGGUAACCUCCCAUCAGAGGGGAUAACACUUGGAAACAGGUGCUAAACCGAUACUGAUGGAUGGACCCGCGGUGCAUUAGCUAGUGGGUGGGGUAACGGCUCACCAAGGCCACGAUGCAUAGCCGACCGUGGAGGGUGAUCGUCCACACGGGGACGGAGAAACGGCCAAGAGUCCUAGGGGAGGAAGCAGUAGGGAAUCUUCGGAAAUGGACGAAAGUCUGACCGAGAAACGCCGCGUGAGUGAAGAAGGUGUUCGGAUCGUAAAACUCUGUUGUUAGAGCAGCGGUAUCUAACCAGAAAGCCACGGCUAACUACGUGCCAGCAGCCGCGGUAAUUC